UGGGGUAUAGCCAAGCGGCACGGCAGGGGACUUUGAAUCCUCUAUUCCCUGGUUCGAUUCCAGGUACCCCAA
rnacentral:tRNA from 1 species